rnacentral:rRNA from 1 species
GACGAACGCUGGCGGCGUGCCUAAUACAUGCAAGUCGAACGAGAGCACCCGGUGCUUGCACUGGUCAAUCUAGUGGCGAACGGGUGAGUAACACGUGGGUAACCUGCCCAUCAGAGGGGGAUAACAUCCGGAAACGGAUGCUAAAACCGCAUAGGUCUUCAAACCGCAUGGUUUGAAGAGGAAAAGAGGCGCAAGCUUCUGCUGAUGGAUGGACCCGCGGUGCAUUAGCUAGUUGGUGAGGUAACGGCUCACCAAGGCCGUGAUGCAUAGCCGACCUGAGAGGGUGAUCGGCCACAUUGGGACUGAGACACGGCCCAAACUCCUACGGGAGGCAGCAGUAGGGAAUCUUCCGCAAUGGACGCAAGUCUGACGGAGCAACGCCGCGUGAGUGAAGAAGGUUUUCGGAUCGUAAAACUCUGUUGUUAGAGAAGAACAAGUGCUAGAGUAACUGUUAGCGCCUUGACGGUAUCUAACCAGAAAGCCACGGCUAACUACGUG